AAUAUUGGUCAAUGGACGGAAGUCUGAACCAGCCAUGCCGCGUGGAGGAAGAAGGUCCUAUGGGUUGUAAACUCCUUUUGUUCCGGAGUAAUAAGUGCCUUGCGAGGCACGAUGAGAGUACGGGACGAAUAAGCAUCGGCUAACUCCGUGCCAGCAGCCGCGGUAAUACGGAGGAUGCGAGCGUUAUCCGGAUUUAUUGGGUUUAAAGGGUGCGCAGGCGGCGCGUUAAGUCAGUGGUGAAAUGUCCCGGCUCAACCGGGGAACUGCCGCUGAUACUGACGUGCUCGAGUACGGACGGCGCCGGCGGAAUGUGUCAUGUAGCGGUGAAAUGCUUAGAUAUGCCACAGAACACCGAUCGCGAAGGCAGCUGGCGAGGCCGGAACUGACGCUCAGGUACGAAAGCGUGGGGAUCAAACA
rnacentral:rRNA from 1 species